CUUCGUCGAUCUGCUGCGGGCUGAUGAAGUGAAUGUGCGUAUCGAUGCCGCCCGCCGUCACGAUCAUCCCUUCGCCCGCGAUCACCUCCGUCGCCGCGCCGAUCGCGAUCGUCACGCCCGGUUNNNNNNNNNNUCCGCGAGACGCACGCGGUCGCCCGUCGUGGGGCCGUACAUUUCCGCGUAUGCGCGGCGGCCAAUGCGUAGUGUCAUGUCAUGAGGUUCCGGAAGUGGCUCUUGCAAAAGCGGGACGCGGGCAAGAGAUCAAAGCUUGCCCAUCACCUUGCCGUUGAAG
rnacentral:ncRNA from 1 species